rnacentral:rRNA from 1 species
CCUACGGGUGGCAGCAGUGGGGAAUAUUGGUCAAUGGGCGCAAGCCUGACCCAGCAACGCCGCGUGAAGGAAGAAGGCUUUCGGGUUGUAAACUUCUUUUUUCAGGGAAGAGUAGAAGACGGUACCUGACGAAUAAGCCACUGCUAACUACGUGCCAGCAGGCGCGGUAAUACGUAGGUGGCGAGCGUUGUCCGGAUUUACUGGGUGUAAAGGGCGUGUAGCCGGGUUGACAAGUCAGAUGUGAAAUCCUGCGGCCUAACCGCAGAACUGCAUUUGAAACUGUUGAUCUUGAGUACUGGAGAGGCAGACGGAAUUCGUAGUGUAGCGGUGAAAUGCGUAGAUAUUAGGCGGAACCCCAGUGGCGAAGGCGGUCUGCUGGACAGCAACUGACGGUGAGGCGCGAAAGCGUGGGGAGCAAACAGGAUUAGAUACCCUAGUAGUC